GCAGUCGUGGCCGAGUGGUUAAGCAGAUGAACUAGAAAUCGAUUGGGGUCUCCCCGCACAGGUUGAAAUCCUGUCGACUGCG
rfam:Ixodes scapularis strain Wikel colony gcontig_1108379343198, whole genome shotgun sequence.